rnacentral:misc_RNA from 1 species
UCCUGGUUAACCCAGGCAGUCUCGCUAGAGUUCCCAGCUUCACCUGUUGGCAACUAACGAUAAGGGUUGCGCUCGUUGCGGGACUUAACCCAACACCUCACGGCACGAGCUGACGACAGCCAUGCAGCACCUGUUCAGCGGCCCCGAAGGGCGUUAUCAUUUCUGAUAACUUCCACUGUAUGUCAAAUCUGGGUAAGGUUCUUCGCGUUGCAUCGAAUUAAACCACAUGCUCCACUGCUUGUGCGGGUCCCCGUCAAUUCUUUUGAGUUUCACCCUUGCGAGCGUACUCCCCAGGCGGUAUACUUAUCGCGUUAGCUACGGCACAACCGGGGUUGAGUCCAGUUACACCAAGUAUACAUAGUUUACGGCAAGGACUAC